GACGAACGCUGGCGGCGUGCUUAACACAUGCAAGUCGAACGAAGUGGCGAACGGGUGAGUAACGCGUCAUCAACCUGCCCUUCAGAGGGGGACAACAGUUGGAAACGACUGCUAAUACCGCAUACUGAAGGCGGGGAUUUCGUAUGAAUAGCUAGCUGGUGGGGUAACGGCCCAACAAGGCGAUGAUCAGUAGCUUGUCUGUGAGGUUGAACGGCACCAAUGGGACCGAGACACUGCCCAUAAACCUAUGGGAGGCAGCAGUGGGGAAUCGUCCGCAAUGGACGAAAGUCUGACGGAGCAACGCCGGGUGAGGGAUGAAGGCCUUCGGGUUGUAAAGCUCUGUUAAUCGGUGCGCGGUACCGGAAUAGAAAGCCACGGCUAACUACGUGCCAGCAGCCGCGGUAAUUC
rnacentral:rRNA from 1 species